GAUGAACGCUGGCGGCGUGCCUAAUACAUGCAAGUCGAGCGAACAGAUAAGGAGCUUGCUCCUUUGACGUUAGCGGCGGACGGGUGAGUAACACGUGGGUAACCUACCUAUAAGACUGGGAUAACUUCGGGAAACCGGAGCUAAUACCGGAUAACAUUUGGAACCGCAUGGUUCUAAAGUGAAAGAUGGUUUUGCUAUCACUUAUAGAUGGACCCGCGCCUUAUUAGCUAGUUGGUAAGGUAACGGCUUACCAAGGCGACGUUCCGUAGCCGCCCUGAGAGGGUGUUCGCCCACACUGGAACUGGACCACGCCCCAACCUCCUACGGAGGGCACCAGAAGGGAAUCUUCCGCAAUGGGGGAAAGCCUAACGGGGCAACCCCGCGUGAGUGAUGAAGGGUUUCGGUUCGUAAAACUCGGUUAUUAGGGAGAAACAAAUUUGUAGGUAACUGUGCACGUCUUGACGGUACCUAAUCAGAAAGCCACGGCCAACUACGUG
rnacentral:rRNA from 1 species